AUUGAACGCUGGCGGCAGGCCUAACACAUGCAAGUCGAACGGUAACAGGGAUCAGCUUGCUGAUUCGCUGACGAGUGGCGGACGGGUGAGUAAUGUCUGGGAAACUGCCUGAUGGAGGGGGAUAACUACUGGAAACGGUAGCUAAUACCGCAUAACGUCGCAAGACCAAAGAGGGGGACCUUCGGGCCUCUUGCCAUCGGAUGUGCCCAGAUGGGAUUAGCUAGUAGGUGGGGUAACGGCUCACCUAGGCGACGAUCCCUAGCUGGUCUGAGAGGAUGACCAGCCACACUGGAACUGAGACACGGUCCAGACUCCUACGGGAGGCAGCAGUGGGGAAUAUUGCACAAUGGGCGCAAGCCUGAUGCAGCCAUGCCGCGUGUAUGAAGAAGGCCUUCGGGUUGUAAAGUACUUUCAGCGGGGAGGAAGGGAGUAAAGUUAAUACCUUCGCUCAUUGACGUUACCCGCAGAAGAAGCACCGGCUAACUCCGUG
rnacentral:rRNA from 1 species